rnacentral:rRNA from 1 species
CGGCGGACGGGUGAGUAACGCGUGGGCAACCUGCCUUACACAGGGGGAUAACAAUUAGAAAUGAUUGCUAAUACCGCAUAAGACCACGGUACUGCAUGGUACAGUGGUAAAAACUGAGGUGGUGUAAGAUGGGCCCGCGUCUGAUUAGGUAGUUGGUGGGGUAGAAGCCUACCAAGCCGACGAUCAGUAGCCGACCUGAGAGGGCGACCGGCCACAUUGGGACUGAGACACGGCCCAAACUCCUACGGAAGGCAGCAG